AUGACUGCUGCAGAAUAUGGUCAGAAUGUUCAACAUUUCUCUGCUGCUGAUACAUGGGUUUUGGAUACAGGACAAGGCAACAGGAAUGAUGUUGUACCACGGCCAUAGUAGGGGAGAGCUAUAUGAGAUUCCUGUGACUGUGUUUUCGAGAAGAUUGGUUGCUGGUCCGAAUAAAGCUGUUGCAUUACUUGGGAAAGCUGUAAAGACUUCUAUUUGGCAUAAGAGGCUUGGGCAUCCAUCUGCAGAAGUGCUUGAUGUUAUGCUUAGAACUGUUGGACAGCCUGUUAGUGCAGAUUCCUCACCUUCUGUUUGUUCUUCAUGUCUUUCUGGAAAAAUGUGUAGACAACCCUUUCCUGUCAAAGAAACUAGGGCUAGUUUUAUGUUUGAAAAAGUACAUUCUGAUAUUUGGGGGCCUGCUCCAGUUAAGUCUCGAGAAGGGUUUAGAUACUAUGUAAGUUUUGUGGAUGAGUUCUCAAGAUUUGUAUGGAUCUUCCCUAUUAUCAAUAAAU
rnacentral:sRNA from 1 species